ACCAUGAGAUGUUUUCUACUGUAGAAACUUUCUCAUUAGAAAUAGCCCAUUUAUACAGGGGACUGGCUAAUGUUUUUCUAUGAGUAUCAUUAGCCAGUGUCUCAAAGUGGUGAAGAGUAAGUAUAUAGCAUCUUUCAAAAGACUGCAACCUGGAACAAGGAGAGACAAAGGGAAGGAGGAGUCUGGAGCCAUAUUGAAGAUGAAAUUGAGAUAUGGACUAGGUGGUGGAUCGUUUUUAUAAGAGGACAUAAAAGAGGAUGCUAAAGCUAAUUGCCACAAUCAGAACUCAAAGACCUAGCAAAUGCAAGGAUACAAUAAGAAGUCAGCAGUCUGCAACCCAGAAGAGGACCCUCACUGGAACCCAGGAAUGUUGGCACUCUGAACUUAGAUUUUCCAGCCUCUAGAAUGCCUUAUGCAAAUCCUGGAAGAUAUCAAUUCUGAGGGCUGGGGUGUAUCUUGAUCACCUUUGGAAUCUACCACUGCAUGGAGCACAGCACUUACCACCUAGUAGGUAAGCAACAAAUGCUUGCUUGUCAAUUGAUUUAUUCAGUAGACUCAGUGCUAUGUGUACAUUAAACACCUGGGGAGCUUUAAACAAUAAACGAGCAAACCAACAAAUGCUGCAUCAGCCUAGACCAACACAAUCCUGAUCUCUGGAUGUGGGAUCCCCGCACUGGUAAGUUUGUAAAGCACCACAGGUGAUACUAGUGCAUGGGGAAGAUUGAGAACUACUGGAUUCAUUAACCUGUUGCUUUACUUGGCUACAGUUCUGUUUGUUUCCAAGUUUGGAAGAAACAUAAUUGAAUCAUUUUGAGGAAUUCCAAUCCCUGACAAGAUGCCAGUGCUAUUUUACAGCAAGAGUAGACGAGGAAGGCUAUACUACGUGGUCCUGGGCAAGUUAUUUAAAUUCUCUGUGCCUCAGUUUUCUGAACCGUAAGAUGGGAAGAAUAAUAGUAACUACCUCUGGAGGCUGUUGUAAAAGUUAAAUGAUCUGAUCUAUGUAAAGCACUUAGAACAGUACCUGGUAUAUAAGUGUGUGAUAAAUAAAAUCCAAUAUGAAGAAGAGGA
rnacentral:lncRNA from 1 species